rnacentral:rRNA from 1 species
GAUGAACGCUAGCUACAGGCUUAACACAUGCAAGUCGAGGGGAAACGAUAUUGGAAGCUUGCUUCCGAUAGGCGUCGACCGGCGCACGGGUGAGUAACGCGUAUCCAACCUGCCCAUCACUUGGGAAUAACCUUGCGAAAGUAAGACUAAUGCCCAAUGACAUUUAUAGAAGGCAUCUGAAAUGAAUUAAAGAUUUAUCGGUGAUGGAUGGGGAUGCGUCUGAUUAGCUUGUUGGCGGGUAACGGCCCACCAAGGCGACGAUCAGUAGGGGUUCUGAGAGGAAGGUCCCCCACAUUGGAACUGAGACACGGUCCAAAACUCCUACGGGAGGCAGCAGUGAGGAAUAUUGGUCAAU